UCUGGUGGCCAUAGCGGAGGGGAAACACCCGUUCCCAUUCCGAACACGGCAGUUAAGCCCUCCAGCGCCGAUGGUACUGGGGUCUUACCCCGGGAGAGUAGGUCGCUGCCAGGA
rnacentral:rRNA from 1 species